rnacentral:rRNA from 1 species
AUGUCGGCAGUAAUCACAAAGUUCGCCGUCACAUCUAUGGUGAUGUGGAUGGCCCCAGUUGCAAUCAUGUAUGGGUUUAUCUACCAGAUUUUUCCAGGUGUCGGUCAGCUUUCCCCCUCGGCGCAAACUAUGGCCAGUGGAUUCCUUGCUGUCAUCUCGGUCAAUCUGGUGAUCGGCUUUUACAUAUACAUGGCCAUGAAGGAGACUCCCCAUCAAGAGCCACAGCCUGAUCCAACCUUUCUGGCAAACGCCAAAGCAAGCAUCAACCAGCCAACUUCUUCGCAAGUGAGUGAUGAUUCCCAUGGGAAGGGGAAGGUGGAGUAG